AGUUUCCCGGCUGAGCUUUAGUUAACCCGAACUGGGUCACGGACAGGGCCUGACCCCUGAUCCUCCAAGCAAGACAAAUAUGGACAAGGGUUAUUCAUUAGAACAACUCCAGGGAACAGCAGGGUCAGCUCUGCCCCCUCAUCCCCGCCCCCGUGGCCUGCUCCUGCUGAGGCCCCCACAGUACAGCUGGCUCCCGAGUCGGCCCAGGAGGGCCGCCUGCCCUGCCCGUCAGGCCUCGGGGCAGGUGGACGGAGAACCAGCCUGGUCCUGUCGCUGGAUGGGUCUUAAGCGGAGGUGAGGAGCUGGGGCUGGGUGGUGAGGAGGGGACGGAGACCCGGCCCUUCACCUUGAUCUGCAGGAUGUCCCCCUCGUGGGCCGGCCAGCCGCGCAGAACCAGGCCCGUGCGGGUGUCCAGGAGCACCACGAAGCCCGAGGAGAAGCCAGCCACGACGCUGCGGCCAUUGGGGCUGACGGCCAGGGAGCGGACGAGCCCAGGGUUCAGCCCGCCGCCCAAGCGGAACUCAUGCUGCAGAGGCGGGAGAGUGAGCUGGAGGGGAAACUGAUGCUUUCAGCAGCAAAGUGACUUGCUCAAGAUCACUCAGCAGGAAAGCUGGUGGAGCCGAUUUAAACUGAGGUCUGACCGAUUUCAAGCCCCUAACUGCCUCUCUGAGUGGCCUCAUUUGGCCUCCCCCAGGCACUUCCACUGCACCCCAACCUUCCACCCUGAAGCCCCAUUCCCAGAGGCCUGGCAGGGUAAAGGACAGCAGCAAAGGAACAGGCCUCACCUGGGCUCGCUCACCUGUGAAGGGGUCCCAGAGGUGCACAGCCCCGUCACAGCUCACCAGGUACUGUGGGGCCUCAAGCUGGCCCACGUAGAAGACACUCUUGCGGUGCUGGGCAUAGACCAGGCGGGCAGCUGUCUCGCUGGUGCCAUCCCCACAGUUGUAGAGUGGCCAGAGACGCACGGUCCGGUCCUUGCUGCCACUCAGGAAGAAGUCCUCACUGCUCAGAGGUGCCACACACUUGACAGCCCCCGAGUGGCCAGGGAAGCUCUGCAGGCGGAUCUGGUGGAAGUGAAAGUGGGCAUCCUGCUGGCUAACGCCAAUCUCGUACUGCCAGUAUGCCAGCCAGUUCCCGCUCAGCCCAUGGACACUCCGCGGCAGCUCCCGCUUCAAAAUGUUGUCCUCACUGCCGCCGCCGAGGCCCCCGCUGCCUGCCCCGGAGAUGGGGCCCAGCAAGCCUGGGCUCUCGGGCUGAGAGUCCGUGGGGAUCUGGAUGCGAUUCCCAACCAGGACGCUCCCGAAGGUCCCCGAGUGGCUGUCAUCUAGGGGGCUGCCCCCAUGCUGGGGGUCCCACUCGGGGCUGGUGCUGGGCACAGUGGACUCCAUGCUGGCAGGGUUGUGGCUGCUGGGGCUGAUGCUCUCCAAAUACAGCCCUGCCAGCUCCCCAACCAGCUCGUGGUUGGGGAUGAUUUUCUGGAUGAUGUCACCUGCAUGGGGGUGGGAGAGGUCCAAGAUCAGGGAAGCUGCCGGGGGGCUGUAACCACCCACCCAAAGACUUGGGAACCACAGAUGACAAGGCAGGUACUACCUGAGUCAUUCUGGGAAGGUAAUUCUUCCUCUCUGAGCCUAUUUCCUCCUCAGUAAAAUGUGGAUCUCUUCAUUGA